UUAAGCUGGUUUUGGGACGUAAAACCCAGAAAUCAAUCAAUCAAUGUAUGUAUAUAUUUGGCGGUGCACGGCCGUCUUAAUUGGUGGAGUGAUUUGUCUGGUUAACUCCAAUAACGAACGAGACUCUAGGCUAUUAAAUAGGUGCGGUGUUCUCAGCACCUUACAACCCUCUUAGAGGGACAAGCGGCUCCUAGCCGCGCGGAACAGAAAUAACAGGUUGUGAUGCCCUUAGACGUCGGGGGCCGCGUGCGCGCUACACUGAUGGAAGCAGCGUGUUUUUAUCGCUGUCUGAAAAGACUGGGUGACCCGUGGAACUUCUUUCGUGAUUGGGACAGGGCCUUGCAAUUGUUCCCCUUGAACGAGGAA
rnacentral:rRNA from 1 species